ACAGCAGGCAGUGAAAAGAUCAAAUCAUUCACUCAUUAUAUCAACACAGCUGGACAGUGGACACAUGACUUUACUGUGUUAUUUAAAUGCAGCUGAUAUUUUAUAUAUGUCUGCGCUAGUCUGUGCUCAUGAUCACUGUGAUCACAAACCUGGAGAACCCAAGAACCAUUGUCUUCUUUGGAAAAUUAUGAACUACGCAUUAAAUGACUUAUAUAAGUUCACUGAACACCAAAAUAUCCACUUUUUCAACAUUAACCCUUCAUUCCCUGAUUUAGGAUUUGGGUCAGAUUUGACCCAUUGGUCUUUAGGCAUAUCAUUUUAAAAAAUCACAAUAACAAACACUGUCAAUGUAAACUAUUUUAAAGUUAGGUAAAUAAAUCAACCUCACAGCUACAUUUAACAAGUUUUUUUUUCUUUAUUUGUUGCAUGUCAGAACUGGAUUCAGUUUGAAACAAAAGAACACAAGGCACAGUUUUCACAGUCACUGCAUAUCAGUUUUGAGGUCCUUGCACACAGUUCAAUGAUGGCAAUGUUCCUUCUUGACCGGCCAAUGGGCGAUUUGGUUGAAACGAACAUCUGCACUCUUGUAAACUCAAACUAAUUUUGGUGGUGAAAAAAAAAACCCAAACCACGGGCAUUUUCUUAUCCAUGAAUUCACACUAGACAUUGUAGUAGUCUUUGAAGCAAUUUCUUUUUUUGUUGAUGCAGAGUGGAACAGCAUAUUUUUCAAAGUGCAUUUCAGUUUUGAGGUCCUUGCACACAGCACAUCGACGGCGAUUUUCCUCCUUGACAUUCCAAGGGGCGAUUUGGUCGAAACAAACAUCUGCACUCUUGUAAACUCAAACAAAUUUUUGUGGUGGCGGGGAGGAGAGGCCAGAAGUUGUUGGCCUACCCCGACUUCUUGCUGUUCCAACUUGAAACAAGCCUUCAGCAACCAAACCCUGAAAUUUGCGAAGUUUGAGUACUUUCGAUGUUGGGAUUCCCUGGGCCUCACAGUCACGCUGGUAAAGAAGCCAUGCGUUGAUCACUGCAACAGACAAAUGCCAGAAAAAGUAUCAUAUACCAGCGACGGGUCCUGAUGGGAAACUUACAGCAUACAAGAUGUGCAUCCAGCAUGUCAACUCCUCCCAUGGAAGCAUUGUACUCCUUGAUGAUGUUUGGCUGAUCAAUGUUGAUGUACUCUUUUUUUAACUUGUCCCAGCGGCGGGCUUUUCCCAAAGGCUCUGGUCCAGCAUAUGUUGACAUCAAAGUGACUGCUUUUGUGUCUUGCCAUUUCAAACACACAGUAUUGGUGUUGGACUCGAUUCGAUGAUCAUAUGAUCCAUGGCCUUUCUUGGACAGGUCUGUCAUCAGGGUGCACUUUGACGUGCGGUUUUUUCGAACAGUUCCUGUGUAGCAGAUUCCCUUUGCCAAUAAUUUCUCAAUGAGGGGCAUUGAAGUGAAGAAAUUGUCAGCAAAAAUCAGGAAACUUACUUUCUCUGCGAGUCGCAUAGCUUCACCACAAUGUCUCCACCAACUCCCAACUGACUCUUCCCUUUUUGCUCAUUGGCACCUCCUUUUCCUUGAUAUAUAUCAAAAUCAUGCAGGAAGCCAGUGACACAGCAGCGCCCCCACACUUUGAAUCCCCACGGAUGUGGCUUCCCUUUGAUGUACUGCCUUAUGCUACCAAAUUUCCUUUGUACGGCACCAUCAUCUCAUCGAUGGACUGUUUUUGGCGAGGCGCAAUAGUCAAACAUUGUCUCUGAAAAGAAUCCAAAAACGGUUUUAGUUUCCACAGUGGAUCCUUUUUAAUUCUUCACUGCCCAUUUCAUUGUCUACAAAGUGAAUGACAGAGAGUAGCUGGCUGAAUCGGUUGCGACUCAUUAUGUCUGCCACAGGCCCAUAACGAACUUCGUUUUCCCAGUACUGACGUACUCCAGACAUUUGAACUAAUCCCAUCCUGAGAUACAGUCCGAGAACUUGUUCUAUCUCUUUUACUGAAGUGUCAACACAUUUCCCAUGCUUUUGAAUACUGUAUUGAUUGGUGUGCUCAACAAUAUUUUCCAACAUAUCAAGGGAAACAAAGCGGCAAAAGUAAACCGGUGGCGUGUCUGUUGUGGUAUCCUGGUACGACUCAACUUGUUCACCAAGAAAGUUCACAUCAGGCAACUCAAAGCCUUUCUUUCGCCAUUUAUACGUUUUUGCGGCACGAUUUGGCUCCAUCUGUACGCUAGCAGUCUCAGCAAAUGGCACAUCUUCAUCACUGGACGAGUGAUUGGAUGAGUCACUGUCUUCGGCAGAGAAUUCACCACCAUCACUUUCAUGCGGUUGAUACAAUUCAUCAGAAUCGCCGUCGCUGUCCAGCUCAGGGCCAAAGUCACUAUCAUCAGCUUCGAGUUGAUCCAAUACUUGUUGUGCAGUGAACUUUCUCUGGUGCUUUCCCUGCCCUGAAAAGGGAGUAGCCAUACUCCCUGAAAAGAUAUAUUUACUUUAUUAGUCUCUGACCCUGUACUACUUAGGUAACUUAGUGAAAUGUAUUAUACAAAUUAAUUUAUUUCGAGGCUUUUGUCAAAUACAGGACUGUAAACAUUCUCCAUCUACAAUGUCACUCAAAGAACCAAAGGGUCAUUUUUGACCCGACAAUUUUUAACCCAUACACCCAGAAGGUCAUUUUUGACCCAUCGUUUUUUUAACUAGCUCAGGGUGGCUAAUUUUUACAAAAAGAACACAAAACAUUUUUCUAGGCAUUCUGCAACUUAUUACAAAGUAGAUUAACAAAUAAAACACAAUUUUACCAACAUUUUAUUUGCUACGAAGACGAUUUUUGGGGGGAAAGUUUCCAGCUCAACAAAACAGCAUGUGGUCAGCAAUCUUCUAACUACCACUCUGGCUAAUGUCAGUUCAAUAUGCAUCCACUAGAUGUCUCUAUGCAGGGGUUAGAAGUGGCACUUUGGGAUUUAGAAGAUAAAUUUGACCUUUUUUUUUUCUUUGUACAUUUUGAGCAGCAGCAAUUAACAGUGGCCAAAUUUGACCCCAUGGGUUCUCUAGGGUUAAAUGCUGCUUCUUAGAUAAAAAUUAUGAUGAGUUCAAACUGGCUGGAUACAUUUACAUCUGUAACAAACAUAGAAGAAAAGUCUGCUAGACAUCUCCAAAUCAUAAUAAAAAAAGCAAAGAUUUAUUUAUCAUAUCUAACCGUACAGGUGUUACAGAGGUGCAGUGUUAGUGUCUGUGUAAGUUUCCUCCACAGUACAAGGACUUAGCUGGUAAUUCUAAACUGGCUGUAGGUGUGACUGUUAGUCUGUGAUGGAUUGAUGGCCUGUAGUUACUGUGUGACAGGGAUGCAAAACUGAAUUUACAUCGAAAGUAUCAUCACAAGUUACGAGUGUAACUGAACACUGUCAGUGUGAAGACUUUUAAAUGUAAUUACUGAGAUAUCUUACUAUAAGGUCUUUAGUGCAGCUUCAACAGCAAAUCUCAGUUUUUCUACCUGACAAAUGUGUGAAAAUAUAGAAGAAAUGCAGGUAACUCAGUGCCCAGACUGUUCUGUAUUGAUAUUACAACACAUUUUUGUUGAUUGAUGAAGAUGUUUUAUUUUUCUUGAGUAGGCAGUGAACAUCAGCAAAAAAAAAAUUCUUUAAUUGAUUAUCUGUUAAUUAAAUACUUUGGAGUAGUAUGAAUGUCUUUGGUGACGUGUUUAUCAGCAGGAAAAGUUGGAAAACAGUUCAAUGUCGAAAGAUUUAUGUCCUGAUUCACAUUUUGCAAAGCUGUCAAGCAGGCCAGAUUGGUCACAGUUUGAGGACCUGUGCCAGAAGCACCUGCUGACAGCUGGGAUAAGCUCAAACUCUCUCUCUGCCUCAAGUCAGAUAGAAUGGAUAAAGAGAUCUUCAACCAAAUAUUUUUAAACUUGUUGCUGGCUUUAAAUUGAAAAUGAGCAGAUAUUUCAGAGAGUUGUUCUUUAUGUUCACCUCAAAUCAACCUGAGUGUCAUUUCUCUUUAGUUCUGAUCUCACUGCUGAGCUGCACAACAAACCAAGCUCGUCUGACUGUGAGUCCCAGCAGCUCUCAGUUAUUUGAAGGAGUCUUUGUGUCUCUGAGCUGUGAGGAGGACGACAGCUCUGCUGGAUGGACUCUGAGGAGAAACACAAGCAAACGACAGAGGACUCAGUGUGGAAGAGAUGGGUGGGGAGAAGGUUCUGGUUCUUCCUGUAACAUCACUAUGGUGUCUUAUGACAGUGGAGUUUACUGGUGUGAGUCCAGAGAGGGUCCCAUCAGUAACAUGGUUAACCUGACAGUCACUGGUGGAUCAGUGAUCCUGCAGAGUCCUGUCCUCCCUG